UCCUAGAUUGUGAGACAUCUGAAGAGUGUCUUCUUGACAUAAUCUUGGUGGCAAGCUUGGAGGUGACUGGACUUUGGUGCGAUCGUACCAUGAGUUUGAAGCUGGGAGUGUUCUUGAGAAGAUAAGGCUGCGGUAGUGCACUGGUUAGGAAGGAUCUUGGCCAACUUCCAUGUGAAUCACCAUUAGAGGACUUCUACUUUGGAGUCUCAUAGAGAACACC
rnacentral:lncRNA from 1 species